rnacentral:pre_miRNA from 1 species
UACAUACUCCUUCCGUCCGGAAUUACUUGUCAUCAAAAUGGAUGAAAAUAGAUGUAUCUAGAACUAAAAUACAUCUAGAUACAUUCAUUUCAAUGACAAGUAUUUCCGAACAAAGGGAGUACUAC